rnacentral:rRNA from 1 species
AGUGAACGCUGGCGGUAGGCCUAACACAUGCAAGUCGAACGGCAGCACAGUAAGAGCUUGCUCUUACGGGUGGCGCGUGGCGGACGGGUGAGGAAUACAUCGGAAUCUACUUUUUCGUGGGGGAUAACGUAGGGAAACUUACGCUAAUACCGCAUACGACCUACGGGUGAAAGCAGGGGAUCUUCGGACCUUGCGCGAUUGAAUGAGCCGAUGUCGGCUUAGCUAGUUGGCGGGGUAAAGGCCCACCAAGGCGACGAUCCGUAGCUGGUCUGAGAGGAUGAUCAGCCACACUGGAACUGAGACACGGUCCAGACUCCGACGGGAGGCAGCAGUGGGGAAUAUUGGACAAUGGGCGCAAGGCUGAUCCAGCCAUACCGCGUGGGUGAAGAAGGCCUUCGGGUUGUAAAGCCCUAUUGUUGGGAAAGAAAAGCAGCAGGUUAAUACCCCGCUGUUCUGACGGUACCCAAAGAAUAAGCACCGGCUAACUUCGUG